UGGGGAAUAUUGGACAAUGGGCGAAAGCCUGAUCCAGCCAUGCCGCGUGUGUGAAGAAGGUCUUCGGAUUGUAAAGCACUUUAAGUUGGGAGGAAGGGCAGUAAGCGAAUACCUUGCUGUUUUGACGUUACCGACAGAAUAAGCACCGGCUAACUCUGUGCCAGCAGCCGCGGUAAUACAGAGGGUGCAAGCGUUAAUCGGAUUUACUGGGCGUAAAGCGUGCGUAGGCGGCUAAUUGAGUCGGAUGUGAAAUCCCCGGGCUUAACUUGGGAAUUGCAUUCGAUACUGGUUAGCUAGAGUGUGGGAGAGGAUGGUAGAAUUCCCGGUGUAGCGGUGAAAUGCGUAGAGAUCUGGAGGAAUACCGAUGGCGAAGGCAGCCAUCUGGCCUAACACUGACGCUGAGGUACGAAAGCAUGGGGAGCAAACAGG
rnacentral:rRNA from 1 species